CCCCCCCAUUCAGUUUCUCAGCAAUUUACAAAACAGCUCUUUAUUUUCUGUUUAAAUUAUUGUGUUAUCAUUCGAGGGUUUUAACGUUGAUUCUAUAUGGUUAUAGUUUCUGUGACAAUUUCUAGUUACAGGAACAGACUUUUUAGAAAGUCUGUGGUUCCUCAACAGACUCUUAAGACAAGAUCCCGUGUCCACUACGUCUGUUGAAAAUCCUUUAACUGUGUAGAUGCUUUUUGUUUACUUAAAUUUAAAGAGAUUCGUUAAGCAGGAUUUAUUUUUGACCAAAUCAUGUUAUUAUGUUGUUUUAUUUACAAAAUUAUUCACCUGUAAAUGGUAAAUGAUUCCCUGUGUUAAUAGUCUCGUCAGGUGUUUACAGAUGUGUAAAACAUGAUUGACUAGUCUGUAGUUUUCUGCUGUAGUUUGUAGUUUCGAUUUUUUACUAAAUUCUAUCCACACAACUUUAAUUCACAAAGAAAUGCAAGAAAAAAUUAUAUAAGGUCCUAC